AUUGAACGCUGGCGGCAGGCCUAACACAUGCAAGUCGAGCGGAGCGGCGGACGGGUGAGUAAUGCCUAGGAAUCUGCCUGGUAGUGGGGGAUAACGUCCGGAAACGGGCGCUAAUACCGCAUACUAUCAGAUGAGCCUAGGUCGGAUUAGCUAGUUGGUGGGGUAAAGGCCUACCAAGGCGACGAUCCGUAACUGGUCUGAGAGGAUGAUCAGUCACACUUGAAAGGAGCACCGGUCCCGACCCCCUCCGGAGGGAGGAGGGGGGAAAAUUGGACAAUGGGCGGAAGCCUGAUCCAACCAUGCCGCGUGUGGGAAAAAGGGCUUCGGAUUUGAAAGCACUUUAAGUUGGGAGGCGUUACCAACAGAAUAAGCACCGGCUAACUUCGUGCCAGCAGCCGCGGUAAUAC
rnacentral:rRNA from 1 species